CGUUAAUAUGCCUUCCGAUUAUGAACAGGAUAUAUAAUAUGCUUGUUUCCACUUGUCCGUCAUAGUGUAUUACUUUACUUCAAACAAGAUGAACAAGGCAGUAAUCUUCCUUCUGCUGGCGGUUGUGGCGACGGCCAUCGCCAAGCCUAACGUCAAGGUGGAGAAGCGGUCCGAAGUCUUAAUGGAGCCCUUGACCUAUCGGUACCGUUAUGUGUACCCUGGGUACUCUGGGUACCGGUAUUACUCGUACUACCCUUACGAUCCGCUGUACCCCUACAGCCCCGUUUACUAUAAGAAAUGAAGUGACUAAAUAUAUAUAAUUUGAACGGAAA